rnacentral:rRNA from 1 species
AGUGAACGCUGGCGGUAGGCCUAACACAUGCAAGUCGAACGGCAGCACAGUAAGAGCUUGCUCUUACGGGUGGCGAGUGGCGGACGGGUGAGGAAUACAUCGGAAUCUACUUUUUCGUGGGGGAUAACGUAGGGAAACUUACGCUAAUACCGCAUACGACCUACGGGUGAAAGCAGGGGAUCUUCGGACCUUGCGCGAUUGAAUGAGCCGAUGUCGGAUUAGCUAGUUGGCGGGGUAAAGGCCCACCAAGGCGACGAUCCGUAGCUGGUCUGAGAGGAUGAUCAGCCACACUGGAACUGAGACACGGUCCAGACUCCUACGGGAAGCAGCAGUGGGGAAUAUUGGACAAUGGGCGCAAGCCUGAUCCAGCCAUACCGCGUGGGUGAAGAAGGCCUUCGGGUUGUAAAGCCCUUUUGUUGGGAAAGAAAAGCAGCAGGUUAAUACCCCGCUGUUCUGACGGUACCCAAAGAAUAAGCACCGGCUAACUU